AGCAAGAGUCGUGAGUACUUGUCAACGCGACUCCUCAACUGGAGAUAACUUUCUAGCACAUCACCAUGGGGAAGGACGCAUUCAUAUGCCUUCACCAGCACCUGCAUUAAACAUGCAGAGAGUUACACAAGGAACGGCAGUCCCUCCUCGACUCCCUCCACCCCCCUCACCAGCAGCCCUCAACAUGUGGCAGACAGAGGAGCCUGGAUCCAGCCUGGCCAACAGGCCAACAUGGCGAGGGGAAAGAAUAGCAGAC